AGAGUUUGAUCCUGGCUCAGAACGAACGCUGGCGGCAUGCCUAACACAUGCAAGUCGGACGCUUUUGCGACUUCGGUCGCAAGGGAGUGGCGCACGGGUGAGUAGCGCGUGGGAACCUGCCCUGUUGUGGGGGAUAACCGAGGGAAACUUCGGCUAAUACCGCAUGCGCCCGGUUGUCUUGAAAGAGAUGGCCGGGGAAAGAUUUAUCGCAGCAGGAGGGGCCCGCGUCGGAUUAGGUAGUUGGUAGGGUAACGGCCUACCAAGCCUGUGAUCCGUAGCUGGUCUGAGAGGAUGAUCAGCCACACUGGGACUGAGACACGGCCCAGACUCCUACGGGAGGCAGCAGUGGGGAAUAUUGGACAAUGGGCGCAAGCCUGAUCCAGCAAUGCCGCGUGAGUGAUGAAGGCCUUAGGGUUGUAAAGCUCUUUCGCCCGCGACGAUGAUGACGGUAGCGGGAGAAGAAGCCCCGGCUAACUUCGUGCCAGCAGCCGCGGUAAUACGAAGGGGGCGAGCGUUGUUCGGAUUUACUGGGCGUAAAGGGCGCGUAGGCGGCCCUCCUUGUCGCGUGUGAAAGCCCCGGGCUCAACCUGGGAAUUGCGCGCGAAACGGGGGGGCUUGAGUUCGGGAGAGGAGCGUGGGGAGCAAACAGGAUUAGAUACCCCAGUAGUCC
rnacentral:rRNA from 1 species